rnacentral:misc_RNA from 1 species
AAGUCGUAACAAGGUUUCCGUAGGUGAACCUGCGGAAGGAUCAUUAUCACGUUAUCCACGUAUCAACCAUUGUGAACUAGUAUUAGACCUUUGGAUUAAGAAAGGUAGUGUUAUGUUAAACCGUUAUCAAACAAUAAUGAUUGGAAAUUGUUGGGGUUUAAUGCGACCAAACAAAUUCGUUUGUUUACUUUCUGAUUCAAAGUGUAUUUUUUUUCCAAUCAAUUAUUUCAUUAACCAUUUAAACCCAAAAUUUUUCUAAAUUUUGAACUGAUUUAAUUUCUUACUCUCUAAACAAGAGAAGAAAUAAAUGAUUACGAAACAUAAGAACAACUCUUAGCAACGGAUAUCUUGGUUCUC